GGGGGCCGUGAAAGGAAAACCUACCCUUGACAUGUCUGGAAAGCCGAAGAGAUUUGGCCGUGCUCGCAAGAGAACUGGAACACAGGUGCUGCAUGGCUGUCGUCAGCUCGUGUCGUGAGAUGUUGGGUUAAGUCCCGCAACGAGCGCAACCCUUGUCAUUAGUUGCUACGCAAGAGCACUCUAAUGAGACUGCCGGUGACAAACCGGAGGAAGGUGGGGAUGACGUCAAGUCCUCAUGGCCCUUAUGGGUAGGGCUUCACACGUCAUACAAUGGUCGGGACAGAGGGUCGCCAACCCGCGAGGGGGAGCCAAUCUCAGAAACCCGAUCGUAGUCCGGAUCGCAGUCUGCAACUCGACUGCGUGAAGUCGGAAUCGCUAGUAAUCGCGGAUCAGAA
rnacentral:rRNA from 1 species